AGGAAUCUGCCUAUUAAUGGGGGACAACAUCUCGAAAGGGAUGCUAAUACCGCAUACGCCCUACGGGGGAAAGCAGGGGAUCACUUGUGACCUUGCGUUAAUAGAUGAGCCUAAGUCGGAUUAGCUAGUUGGUGGGGUAAAGGCCUACCAAGGCGACGAUCUGUAGCGGGUCUGAGAGGAUGAUCCGCCACACUGGGACUGAGACACGGCCCAGACUCCUACGGGAGGCAGCAGUGGGGAAUAUUGGACAAUGGGGGGAACCCUGAUCCAGCCAUGCCGCGUGUGUGAAGAAGGCCUUAUGGUUGUAAAGCACUUUAAGCGAGGAGGAGGCUCUCUUGGUUAAUACCCAAGAUGAGUGGACGUUACUCGCAGAAUAAGCACCGGCUAACUCUGUGCCAGCAGCCGCGGUAAUACAGAGGGUGCGAGCGUUAAUCGGAUUUACUGGGCGUAAAGCGUGCGUAGGCGGCUUUUUAAGUCGGAUGUGAAAUCCCCGAGCUUAACUUGGGAAUUGCAUUCGAUACUGGGAAGCUAGAGUAUGGGAGAGGAUGGUAGAAUUCCAGGU
rnacentral:rRNA from 1 species